AUACUUACCUGGCAGGGGAGACACCAUGAUCAGGAAGGUGGUUUUCCCAGGGUGAGGCUCAUCCAUUGCACUUGGGAUGUGCUGAUUCCUGCCAUUUCCCCAAAUGCAGGAAACUCUGCAUAAUUUGUGGUAGUGGUGGACUGCGUUUGCACUCUCCCCUG
ensembl:snRNA U1 U1 spliceosomal RNA